rnacentral:rRNA from 1 species
GAUGAACGCUAGCGGCAGGCUUAACACAUGCAAGUCGAGGGGUAUAGUUCUUCGGAGCUAGAGACCGGCGCACGGGUGCGUAACGCGUAUGCAAUCUACCUUUUGCAGAGGGAUAGCCCAGAGAAAUUUGGAUUAAUACCUCAUAGUAUGUGAGAAUGGCAUCAUUUUCACAUUAAAGUCACAACGGCAAAAGAUGAGCAUGCGUCCCAUUAGCUUGUUGGUAAGGUAACGGCUUACCAAGGCAACGAUGGGUAGGGGUCCUGAGAGGGACAACCACCACACUGGUACUGAGACACGGACCAGACUCCUGCGGGAGGCAGCAGUGAGGAAUAUUGGACAAUGGGCGCAAGCUUGAUCCAGCCAUGCCGCGUGCAGGAUGACGGUCCUAUGGAUUGUAAACUGCUUUUGUACAGGAAGAAACACUGGUUCGUGAACCAGCUUGACGGUACUGUAAGAAUAAGGAUCGGCUAACUCCGUGCCAGCCGCCGCCGUAACAC